rnacentral:lncRNA from 1 species
AUGAAGUAUUUCAGACUUGCCUAUGGUUGCAAAUGUUUUUUUAGUGCAGUAAAGGAAAAUAAUGAUGCACUUUCUCUUCUUUCUCUACUAGGACUUUCUAUUCUAUCUUGGGACAUUUUCCCUCAAAUGUGCUAUUUGUCUCAGCAGUGUACUCCAAUGAGCUGUGAAUGUCUUUCCUGGUCCCUCUUCAAUACAAGAGAAAUGGUGUCUCCCACUGGAAAGCACUAGGAGGUGACUCAGAACUGGAACAAGACAUCCUGGCUUGAAAGGCAAGUUCCCCCUCUCUGAUUCCCUCACUGACAACAUUUUGGGGUAUGCCACCCUCUGGUUUCCCCUCCUGGGCUCCAUCCAGCCAUUGUACAUGAAAUCUCCCUUUUGGAGAUUGGCAUCAAGAGCAAGAACUGCCAAUAUACAUCUUGAUCAGUGCUUCCCUAGGAAAUGGUAAGUGGAACAAGUUUUCCCCAUUUUCUGAUUCCUAAAUGCCUCAGCUCAGAGUUUUUAUUCAUAAAUACCCAUAUGCCACUUUGUCAAGGACAACCUGUGGCAGAAAGGAUAGAAUGAUCCAAGCCUCUGUGGCCUGGUAUGUAGCAGUGAGAGUUCAGCUUAGCUUUGGAAGACUUAAGAUCAAAAUUCUGUGUGAGAAUGCAAAUUGAAGCAUUAAAACUCAGCAUUGCCCAUCCUGGGGUGGGUGACCCAAACCAGUGGCUCCUGGAUGGCAGUGGGUUGUGCUCUGGGGCUUGGGUCCCAGCAGGCUGGGACUGGAGUGGUGAGGAAGGACUAAUGAUUUAGUUCCUGUGGGUGACUACAGCCCACAAUGGGACAAUGCAAGAAAAACAAAUCUCUCCUAUUCCCCACCAUGUCCUGGAAGGAGCAGAGAAAUGAGGUGUUCUGGGCUGCUCUCUGCAUUGCUGAGGUUUGCUGUCUUCUGGUCCCUAGGCUUUGUUAGACACCUGGACAAUGGUUGUUAGUGGUUCUACUUCUUUACUCCAGAAGAGGAGUAAGGAAAGGAUAUACACCUAAUUUUUUCCCCCCCCAUUAAAUAUUUUUGUACCUGGACUACUCUGGUUAAUAAACAAGCGGCUUCAAUGAUUUUAGAAAUGUUU